rnacentral:rRNA from 1 species
UACGGGGGGGAGCAAGCGUUGUUCGGAUUUACUGGGCGUAAAGGGCGCGUAGGCGGCCUCUGCAAGUCGACUGUGAAAUCUCCGGGCUUAACCCGGAACGGUCAGCCGAUACUGCAGGGCUAGAGUGCAGAAGGGGCAACUGGAAUUCUCGGUGUAGCGGUGAAAUGCGUAGAUAUCGAGAGGAACACCUGCGGCGAAGGCGGGUUGCUGGGCUGACACUGACGCUGAGGCGCGAAAGCUAGGGGAGCGAACGGG